rnacentral:rRNA from 1 species
GAUGAACGCUAGCUACAGGCUUAACACAUGCAAGUCGAGGGGAAACGAUAGAGAAAGCUUGCUUUUUCUAGGCGUCGACCGGCGCACGGGUGAGUAACGCGUAUCCAACCUGCCCACCACUUGGGGAUAACCUUGCGAAAGUAAGACUAAUACCCAAUGAUAUCUCAAGAAGACAUCUGAAUGAGAUUAAAGAUUUAUCGGUGAUGGAUGGGGAUGCGUCUGAUUAGCUUGUUGGCGGGGUAACGGCCCACCAAGGUGACGAUCAGUAGGGGUUCUGAGAGGAAGGAGCGCCACAUUGGAACUGGGAAACGGUCCAAGCGCCGACGGGAGGAAGAAGUGAAGAAUAUUGAUCAAUGGGCGAGAGCCUGGACAAGCCAAGUAGCGUGCAGGAUGACGGCCCUAUGGGUUGUAAACUGGUAGUAUAAGGGAAUAAAGUGAGUCUCGUGAGGCUUUUUGCAUGUACAUUAUGAAUAAGGACCGGCUAAUUCCGUGCAAGCAGCCGCAGUAA